AGUGAACGCUGGCGGCGUGCUUAACACAUGCAAGUCGAACGAGAACGGAUUAUAGCUUGCUAUAAUCGUCAGCUAAGUGGCGCACGGGUGAGUAAUGUAUAGGUAAUAUGCCUCUUACUAAGGGAUAACAAAUGGAAACGUUUGCUAAUACCUUAUACUCCUUAUUAACAGAAGUUAAUAAGGGAAAGAUUUAUUGGUAAGAGAUUAGCCUGUAUUGUAUCAGUUAGUUGGUGGGGUAAUGGCCUACCAAGACUAUGACACAUAACUGGUUUGAGAGGAUGAUCAGUCACACUGGAACUGAGACACGGUCCAGACUCCUACGGGAGGCAGCAGUGGGGAAUAUUGCACAAUGGACGAAAGUCUGAUGCAGCAACGCCGCGUGGAGGAUGACACAUUUCGGUGCGUAAACUCCUUUUAUAUGAGAAGAUAAUGACGGUAUUAUAUGAAUAAGCACCGGCUAACUCCGUGCCAGCCGCCGCCGUAAUAC
rnacentral:rRNA from 1 species